rnacentral:lncRNA from 1 species
AAGGCCAGAGGCUCCUAACUUGGGACAGGCACAAAAAUACAGCGGGGUUGUUGUGACUAUUUUCAAAUGGUUUUCAGAUUUGUAAAAUAAAAAAAAACUUUCUUCUAAUAACUUUUUACAUCUUACUUCUGAACAUUAUAUUCACCAUCAGUACUUGUAGCAAGAGUAUAAUGAAUAGAACUUCAUACCAAAACACACAAGGACGAACAAACUCUUAAUUAGAUAUAGGAAGAUGUGGUAUGAGUCCCAAUGAGACAACUUUCCAUCCAAGUCACAAUUUAUAAAAGUAAACCAUUAAAGGCCAAGGUACCGUAUUCAACACGGAGCCUUGGCUCACACCGAACAGCAAGCUAUAAAGGGCCCAAAAAAUU